UACGAAGGGGGCUAGCGUUGCUCGGAAUCACUGGGCGUAAAGGGUGCGUAGGCGGGUUUUUAAGUCAGAGGUGAAAUCCUGGAGCUCAACUCCAGAACUGCCUUUGAUACUGAGAAUCUUGAGUAUGGGAGAGGUGAGUGGAACUGCGAGUGUAGAGGUGAAAAUUCGUAGAUAUUCGCAAGAACACCAGUGGCGAAGGCGGCUCACUGGACUGGUAUUGACGCUGAGGUGCGAAAGCGUGGGGAGCAAACAGG
rnacentral:rRNA from 1 species